rnacentral:rRNA from 1 species
UACGGAGGGGACUAGCGUUGUUCGGAAUUACUGGGCGUAAAGCGCACGUAGGCGGAUUUGUAAGUCAGGGGUGAAAUCCCGGGGCUCAACCUCGGAACUGCCUUUGAUACUGCAAAUCUCGAGUCCGGAAGAGGUGAGUGGAAUUCCUAGUGUAGCGGUGAAAUGCGUAGAUAUCAGGAGGAACACCGGUGGCGAAGGCGGCUAUCUGGACAGAGUCUGACGCUGAGGCGCGAAAGCUAGGGGAGCAAACAGG